AACGAACGCUGGCGGCAUGCCUAACACAUGCAAGUCGAACGAAGGCUUCGGCCUUAGUGGCGCACGGGUGCGUAACGCGUGGGAAUCUGCCCUUUGGUUCGGAAUAACAGCUGGAAACGGCUGCUAAUACCGGAUGAUGACGAAAGUCCAAAGAUUUAUCGCCAGAGGAUGAGCCCGCGUUGGAUUAGGUAGUUGGUGGGGUAAAGGCCUACCAAGCCGACGAUCCAUAGCUGGUCUGAGAGGAUGAUCAGCCACACUGGGACUGAGACACGGCCCAGACUCCUACGGGAGGCAGCAGUGGGGAAUAUUGGACAAUGGGCGCAAGCCUGAUCCAGCAAUGCCGCGUGAGUGAUGAAGGCCCUAGGGUUGUAAAGCUCUUUUACCUGGGAAGAUAAUGACUGUACCGGGAGAAUAAGCCCCGGCUAACUCCGU
rnacentral:rRNA from 1 species